AUUAUUUUGGCAGAGUAGUGCAAUAGAUUUAGGAUCUUUUUAUGUAAUUUAUUACAAAUAAUA
rnacentral:tRNA from 1 species